rnacentral:rRNA from 1 species
GGGGCUAAUACCGGAUGCUUGUUUGAACCGCAUGGUUCAAACAUAAAAGGUGGCUUCGGCUACCACUUACAGAUGGACCCGCGGCGCAUUAGCUAGUUGGUGAGGUAAUGGCUCACCAAGGCAACGAUGCGUAGCCUACCUGAGAGGGUGAUCGGCCACACUGGGACUGAGACACGGCCCAGACUCCUACUGGAGGCAGCAGUUUGGAAUCUUCCGCACUGGACGAAAGUCUGACAGAGCAACGCCGGGUGAGUGAUGAAGGUUUUCUGAUCGCAGAGCUUUAUUGUUCGGGAAGAACAAGUACCGUUACAAUAGGGCGGUACCUUGACGGUAGCGAACUUUAAAGUCUCGGGAAAUUACAUGACAUCAGCCGCGGUGAUACGUUUGUCGCGAGCGUUCUCAAGAAAUACAGGGCCUACAGGGUGUGGAGGGCGUCUCUUAAGUCCGAAGUUUUAGCCCCCGGCCACACCUGGCACGGUCCAUAGUAAUUAGGGAAAUUGGAUUGCCAAUAAGGGAAGAGUGGAACUCCCAGAUGAAGCGGUGAAACGUGUAGCGGUGAAAUGCGUAGAGAUGUGGAGGAAACACCGGGUGUGGUUGGGGAAGGCGACUCUCUGGUCUGUAACUGACGCUUAAGAAUUAAUUACUUGCGAAAAAGUACGCCUGCGUGGGGAGCGAACAGGAUUAGAUACCCCGUGGUAGUCCACGCCGUAAACGAUGAGUGCUAUUAGGGGGUUUCCGCCUUUCCUUAGUGCUGCAGCUAAUUUCCUUAAUUCCGCAUUAAGCACUCCGUGCCUAGGUGGGGCCGGUCGCAAGACUGAAACUCAAAGGAAUUGACGGGGGCCCGCACAAGCGGUGGAGGCCCUAUAGUUCUUUAGCCCUAUAGUUCUUUAUAAUUCGAAGCAACGCGAAGAACCUUACCAGGUCUUGACAUCCUCUGACAAUCCUAGAGAUAGGACGUCCCCUUCGGGGGCAGAGUGACAGGUGGUGCAUGGUUGUUCUUCAGCUCGUAAGUCGUGAGAUGUUGGGUUAAGUCCCGCAACGUUAAUAGCGCAACCCUUGAUCUUAGUUGCCAGCAUUGUCCACAGUUGGGCACUCUAAGGUUUCCGAACUGCCGGUGACAAACCGGAGGAAGGUGGGGAUGACGUCAAAUCAUCAUGCCAUCACCCUUAUGACCUGGGCUACACACGUGCUACAAUGGACAGAACAAAGGGCAGCGAAACCGCGAGGUUAAGCCAAUCCCACAAAUCUGUUCUCAGUUCGGAUCGCAGUCUGCAACUCGACUGCGUGAAGCAGGAAUCGCUAGUAAUCGCGGAUCAGCAUGCCGCGGUGAAUACGUUCCCGGGCCUUGUACACACCGCCCGUCACACCACGAGAGUUUGUAACACCUGAAGUCGGUGAGGUAACCUAUAUGGAGACAGCCGCCGAAGUCGCGAGAGAAGCCAGAUUGGGGUGAAGUCGUAAC